rnacentral:snRNA from 1 species
AGAUAGGCGGGUGUCCCCCUCCUCCCUCAGCAAUCCAUGUGCGUCCCUCCUGAACCUGCGUGCUAGGUCGAAGAGGAUGACCUUUCCCCCAGAGGAGAGGACCGGUCUUCAGUCAAGGGUAUACAAGUAGCUGUGAUUCCCCUGCUAGAACCUCCAAACAAGCUCUCAAAAUUGGAAAACUCUAGAAUCCUAAAAAAAAUUCCUAAAGUCUAAAAAUGUCUCUUU